rnacentral:rRNA from 1 species
CCUACGGGAGGCAGCAGUAGGUAAUCUUCCACAAUGGACGCAAGUCUGAUGGAGCAACGCCGCGUGAGUGAAGAAGGUUUUCGGAUCGUAAAGCUCUGUUGUUGGUGAAGAAAGAUAGUGAGAGUAACUGCUCAUUAUUUGCCGGUAAUCAACCAGAAAGUCACGGCUAACUACGUGCCAGCAGCCGCGGUAAA